GUGUGUUAAAUUUAAAUUCUGUUAGUGCUGCACCAAAAGAAUCGUUAGUAAUAAGUCCAUGCAGCGAAGGAAUUGAACAAUUGUGGGACCGUAUUUGGGCCGAAAAUGGGUGUGGUACGGAAACCGAGAUAUGGCACGAGUUCAACAUAAAACAUUGAUUAGAAUUUUAGCAGGGGAUCAAGUCAAGUCUGGAAGUGUUACAGGAUGGAAGAGUCAGCCUACAGUUGAAAAAACACUGAGAGUGCAUUAUCAUUAAGCAAUCCUUUAUAGUUCUGUCACAGCUAGAAGCCUCAAAUAAGUCUGCUUCCCUUGCUAAAGAACAACUUGUCCUUUACGCUCAGUGUUGGUGAAGCUGGGUACUUAAAUGGCCCUAAAGAUGUUUCACUUCACUGGCAUUGCAGCGAUGAACAUCAUACAUGGACUCUUUAGGAAAGGAUUUUUAGUAUACUGGGAACACAACUAUCAACAAUGCAACAUUCUACGGGUGUUAUUUUAUCAUUCAAGAGCCUUUUACAAUGAUUUUCAUCUACAAUUUGUAUGGCCUUUUCCAAGCUUCUGUCAGAAGUUGAAUCUAUGAGUCAUGUAAGUCACAUGAGCAACAAUUGAGAUGCUUAAUGGUGUUGUUUUUCUUUUCUCAGUGUAGGUUAAUAGUAACAUUGGAUCUGAAAAAAUUCUUGGUUGGGGCAUGACACUGAAUAAAUUGUAAUGAUUGGAUGGAUGACAUGAUAUUUCUAUACUUCAUUCGGAUUCCCGAGACGGUAUUUUAUAUUUAAAAAAUUGAAGUGCAUAUCUGGGCUCCCUUCCUUUCCGUAGCCCCGUUUCCCCUUGACUCGUAAUAAGCCCGUAGGGGGUCAUGCCCCUACUGUACGGUAUAUAUAAAAAUAACAUAUACCGAGGUUUGGAGGGCUCUGGCCGGAAAGGGG